CCUACGGGUGGCUGCAGUGGGGAAUAUUGCACAAUGGGCGCAAGCCUGAUGCAGCCAUGCCGCGUGUGUGAAGAAGGCCUUCGGGUUGUAAAGCACUUUCAGCGGGGAGGAAGGCGUUAAGGUUAAUAACCUUGGCGAUUGACGUUACCCGCAGAAGAAGCACCGGCUAACUCCGUGCCAGCAGCCGCGGUAAUACGGAGGGUGCAAGCGUUAAUCGGAAUUACUGGGCGUAAAGCGCACGCAGGCGGUCUGUCAAGUCGGAUGUGAAAUCCCCGGGCUCAACCUGGGAACUGCAUUCGAAACUGGCAGGCUAGAGUCUUGUAGAGGGGGGUAGAAUUCUAGGUGUAGCGGUGAAAUGCGUAGAGAUCUGGAGGAAUACCGGUGGCGAAGGCGGCCCCCUGGACAAAGACUGACGCUCAGGUGCGAAAGCGUGGGGAGCAAACAGGAUUAGAUACCCGGGUAGUC
rnacentral:rRNA from 1 species